rnacentral:rRNA from 1 species
GCAUGGCUGUCGUCAGCUCGUGUCGUGAGAUGUUGGGUUAAGUCCCGCAACGAGCGCAACCCUUGUCACUAGUUGCCAUCAUUUGGUUGGGCACUCUAGUGAGACUGCCGGUGACAAACCGGAGGAAGGUGGGGAUGACGUCAAGUCCUCAUGGCCCUUAUGGGUAGGGCUUCACACGUCAUACAAUGGUCGGUACAGAGGGUUGCCAAGCCGCGAGGUGGAGCCAAUCCCUUAAAGCCGAUCGUAGUCCGGAUCGUAGUCUGCAACUCGACUACGUGAAGUCGGAAUCGCUAGUAAUCGUGGAUCAGCAUGUCACGGUGAAUACGUUCCCGGGUCUU